GACGAACGCUGGCGGCGUGCUUAACACAUGCAAGUCGAACGGAAAGGCCCUGCUUUUGUGGGGUGCUCGAGUGGCGAACGGGUGAGUAACACGUGAGUAACCUGCCCUUUACUUUGGGAUAACUUCAGGAAACUGGUGCUAAUACCGGAUAGGAGCUCCUGCUGCAUGGUGGGGGUUGGAAAGUUUCGGCGGUUGGGGAUGGACUCGCGGCUUAUCAGCUUGUUGGUGGGGUAGUGGCUUACCAAGGCUUUGACGGGUAGCCGGCCUGAGCGGGUGACCGGCCACAAUGGGACUGAGAGACGGCGCAGACUCCUACGGGAGGCAGCAGGGGGAAAUAUUGCACAAUGGGCGGAAGCCUGAUGCAGCAACGCCGCGGGCGGGAUGACGGCCUUCGGGGUGUAAACCGCUUUCGCCUGUGACGAAGCGUGAGUGACGGUAAUGGGUAAAGAAGCACCGGCUAACUACGUG
rnacentral:rRNA from 1 species